rnacentral:rRNA from 1 species
CGGUGAACGUAACGUCGUCCGUUGGAGUGGGAAUAACAGCUGGAAACAGCUGCUAAUACCGCAUAAUAUAUCUGGGUCGCAUGGCUCUGGAUAUCAAAGAUUUAUCGCUCUGAGAUGGACUCGCGUCUGAUUAGCUGGUUGGCGGGGUAACGGCCCACCAAGGCGACGAUCAGUAGCCGGACUGAGAGGUUGGCCGGCCACAUUGGGACUGAGACACGGCCCAGACUCCUACGGGAGGCAGCAG